UACGUAGGGCGCAAGCGUUGUCCGGAAUUAUUGGGCGUAAAGCGCGCGUAGGCGGCCGUCCACGUCGGAUGUGAAAGCUCGGGGCUCAACUCCGAGAGGCCAUUCGAUACGGGACGGCUUGAGGCAGCUAGGGGAGAGUGGAAUUCCUGGUGUAGCGGUGAAAUGCGCAGAUAUCAGGAGGAACACCGGUGGCGAAGGCGGGUCUCUGGGCAGUAACUGACGCUGAGGAGCGAAAGCGUGGGGAGCGAACAGGAUUAGAACC
rnacentral:rRNA from 1 species